rnacentral:misc_RNA from 1 species
GGAAGGAUCAUUAACAAAUCAAUUGUGCUACGAUGGGGGAAACCCGGUCGUAUGCAUAUAAACCCGAACCCGUGCAGCAAUGCCGGGCUAGGUGUGUGCACUAAUCACAGCAAUGUGGACAUAUUAGUGUGCACGGCCGAGAGUAAGUGCGCAAGUGCUUACCCAAAGCCAAAUAGACGCUUGUAUGUUUUGACAGAUCUAGUUGACAACACAAAAUUGACAACUUUUAACAAUGGAUCUCUUGGCUCUUGCAACGAUGAAGAACGCAGUGAAAUGCGAAACGUAAUGCGAUUUGCACGAAUCUGUGAGUCAUCAAGUCUUUGAACGCACCUUGCACCGUAUCAGUAAUGACACGGUAUACCUGUUUGAGAAUCGUAAACAUCCUCAUCUACACUCUCUUUUGCGUGUGGGUGGACGUGUCGGUUCAAUAGCAAUACUGUCCGAUUAAAUAGAGUAGGUCUGGAACAGGCUAGUGGCCUGGGACACUGUGUGCUAGAGACUUUGGUUCAGCAAUGAGCCCUGUCUUCUCACGGUGCGUCUCGGGUCAUUUAAAGCUAGCCUGGAAAGGUCCUUAACUGCGUCAAGCCUUCGUGCUUGAGCAACCCCCUCUCUUUGAUCUCAAAUCAGGUAAGGCUACCCGCUGAACUUAAGCAUAUCAGUAAGCGGAGGAAAAGAAACUAACAAGGAUUCCCCUAGUAACGGCGAGCGAAGCGGGAAGAGUUCAAAUUUAAAAUCUGUGUGGCUUUGCCACUCCGAAUUGUAAUUUAAAGAGGCGUUAUCUGGGUCGGUCUGGUGCUCAAGUCCCUUGGAAUAGGGCGUCACAGAGGGUGAGAACCCCGUCUGGGCACUGGUACUUGAUCCUAUAUGAUGCGCUUUCUACGAGUCGAGUUGUUUGGGAAUGCAGCUCAAAAUGGGUGGUAAAUUUCAUCUAAGACUAAAUACUGGCAAGAGACCGAUAGCGAACAAGUACCGUGAGGGAAAGAUGAAAAGCACCUUGAAAAGGGAGUUAAAUAGUGCGUGAAAUUGUUAAAAGGGAAACGAUUGAGACCAGUAUUGCCAUUAGUCGCUUGCGGCUAGUGUGCGAGUCAGCGUCAGUUUGGGCUUCCGGAGAGAGGUUAGAGGAAGGUGGGGUUGUCCCUUCGGGUCAACUCUUUAUAGACUCUAGCUGGCACGAGGAGCCUGGACUGAGGUGCGCGGCCGUAGUACUCAUUGCUCGAGCCCAAUCCCCAUGGCCAAGGACUACACGUAGACCUUGGCUGCAAGGAACGGAGGUAGGGUGGUGCAUACGGUUCAAGGAUGCUGACGAAAUGGUCUUAAACGACCCGUCUUGAAACACGGACCAAGGAGUCUAACACAUGUGCGAGUAUUUGGGUGGCAAACCCGAGUGCGUAAUGAAAGUGAUCUGGGUGAGAGCCUUGCCUCAGUGCUUGGUGCAUCAUCGGCCGAACCUUGAUGUCCUCUGAUAGGUUUGAGUAAGAGCAUAUUUGUUGGGACCCGAAAGGUAGUGAACUAUGCCUGGAUAGGAUGAAGCCAGAGGAAACUCUGGUGGAGGUCCGUAGCCGUUCUGACGUGCAAAUCGAUGGUCAAAUCUGGGUAUAGGGGCGAAAGACUAAUCGAACUACCUAGUAGCUGGUUCCCUC